rnacentral:RNase_P_RNA from 2 species
GGGAGAGAGAGCCUGGCUGCCGCGAUGGUCGCGCCGGCAACGGCGCGACCACCUCUCGUGGACCGACUCUCCGAGUCGCUCCACGCUCGUAACGUGAUCGUCCCUUCGGGACGCAUCACGCUCGUAACGUUGGCCAACCCUCUGGGUUGCCCAACGCCCGCGAGGAAAGUCCCCCCACCUGUUCGGGCAGGUGACCGGACGCAAGUCCGGAGCGGGAGACCGCUGGCUCUGGAACAGAAACGACACGUCUCGGCCCGACCGAUGAUGCGCGCGAACCCGACCGAGAGGAAGGGGAGCUAACCCGCAGAGGGAAGCGUGGUCGCAUGUUGCUCGCGGUUGAACUCCGCAGGUCACGCUCGACGUGACCGACCACGCACUGACGGCCGAGGAUCGAUGGAACGGCGAACCCUCACCGGUGCAAGUCCGCGCCGUGGUAGCCCGAACACCCCGCGGCAUCGCCGCGGACGGCGUGGACGCUCAGCCGAAUGCCGGGAUGAACAGAAGGGGGCUUACUCCUCUCACCC